AUUGAACGCUGGCGGCAUGCCUUACACAUGCAAGUCGAACGGUAACGGGCCUUCGGGUGCCGACGAGUGGCGAACGGGUGAGUAAUACAUCGGAACGUGCCCGAUCGUGGGGGAUAACGAGGCGAAAGCUUUGCUAAUACCGCAUACGAUCUACGGAUGAAAGCAGGGGACCGCAAGGCCUUGCGCGGACGGAGCGGCCGAUGGCAGAUUAGGUAGUUGGUGGGAUAAAAGCUUACCAAGCCGACGAUCUGUAGCCGGUCUGAGAGGAUGAUCAGCCACACUGGGACUGAGCCACGGCCCAGGCUCCUACGGGAGGCAGCAGUGGGGAAUUUUGGACAAUGGGCGCAAGCCUGAUCCAGCCAUGCCGCGUGCAGGAUGAAGGCCUUCGGGUUGUAAACUGCUUUUGUACGGAACGAAAAGCCUUCUUUUAAUGCAGGAGGGUCAUGACGGUACCGUAAGAAUAAGCACCGGCUAACUACGUG
rnacentral:rRNA from 1 species